ACUUUCCGUCUCCUCUUCCCCACUCCUCCCCUUUCUCUCUCCCCGUUCUUCUUGCCCCACUCCCAAACGUCCAUUGUACCAAUAAGGAGACCAGACAGGCAUGGUAAGAAGUUAGUUCUUCUGGUUUCCAUCUCAAGCAACUUUAAGAUGUGUGGCAAAAUUUCAGGUCAUCUCUGAUGGCGCCUCCGAUCUGCUGCACUUGAGUGGCUUGUGUCAAAAAAUGGAUAUUUUAGAAUUCCAGAAUCUGUUCUAAGUCAAUCUGCUCGAGUACAGGAAGAACCAAAGAUAGUAGGUAGAAGAUUGAUUUUUUUUGCGAGGAGGGGAUUCAAUUUUUGUGAGGAUUGUGAGAAUACCCUCUUCCUAAUCAAGCGCCUAGGCGAGCGGCAGCCAGGCACGAAAAUGCCUAGGCGGGCCCCUGCGUUUUUUGGACACUCUGACCGACCUUAAAAAGGAAAAAGGACCUUAAAAAGGAAAAAGGAUCUCAAAAAUAUUGGGGAUCCCAAAAUUUCAGAUCGAAGUAGUCGUCCUAAGUAACUCUUUCGCAUGGAGAAGUGGGCUUCCCUGUGAAAAGCAGCCCUCAAAGAAAUCACAGAGAUUUCAUUCAGCUUGAAUGGUUGAACUUGUACCAUAUCACGAAUUUCCUGCUGAAAAUAUCAUAUGAAUGGACUACUGAAUGACUUGGAACUUCACGUAUUUAGCCAUGGGUACACAUAAAAGGUAUUGUGAGAAAUGAUGCAACCACUGCAGGAGGUGUGCGCUGGGAAUGGACCAUCACAUUAUCUGGAUAAAUAACUGUGUGCGUCAUGGAAACUAUACGCCUUUCGUUGUCUUUUGUCUUGUAUUCUGGCAUAGCAAGUACAUAUUCCCUGUUACAUAAUCGAAUGGCCUUCAUUUGCAAUUAGGCUGACUUAAAAGUUGUAAAAAUAAUUUGCUUUUAUGUAAGUAACUUUUCAUGCAUUCGGAAGAAAAAAUUCAUCCUUGUUCAA